ACCUGUGCAUUAGAGAGGGUUUGGGCAUUUGUUGUGUAAAUGCCUUAGUGUGAGUCAGUCCCCAGGAGCCUGGUUGGCCUCAGCUGCCCUGAUCUUUGAGGGCCAGACUCCCACCCUGGAGCUGUUGUUAAGGAGGGUGGCAGCCAGGUCCCCACAGGACACCCCGGGUCAUCGUUUUGGGGCUGGUACACUUAACACAUCUGUUGCCCCAGCAGUAUGGGAAGCUCAGACCUGUUCCAUGACUUGGUAACUAAGCUUGGGCUGAGCCUCUGACUCCAGGUUUGGUGCAAUUUCUCCCAGGACUUCAGGGAGAGGGGCCCUUAGGAGUCCAGGUCUCAACAGGGACUGUGACCACCACACUCCCUUUCCACUCUCUGCCCCAGGCUCCACAUACCUUCCUUGCCCAGCCCAGCAGGCCUGGCCAAGGUGGGCAAUUAUGGCCAGGAACUGAUGGCAAAAAGCUUAGUGAGGUCCAUGCUCCCAUCACAAACCCUUACUGAUCCCUGGGGUCAGACAGACAUGGGUUCAAAUGCUGCCUCUACCACUUCCGAUACAUGUGACCUUGAGCAAGUUAUUUAAUCCCGCUAAGACUAAAUGUUCUUAUCUGUGAAAUGGGUAGUGCUUAUUUUAUUAUAGAGUUGCUGGGAGAAUUAAAUAAAACCUUGCACUUAAAACAUUUAGCAUGGUGCCAGCGCAUAGCAAGUUGGCCAUUACGAUUAUUUUCAUUCGCAUCAUCGUCGGCUUGACCACCUUACAAUUUAUUGUUGACACAGGAUUUCACUGCCCAAGUUUGCAUUUGUGUUUAUGAUUGUGCUGGCAUCGAGUAGUCCUGUUUAAUUGCUGCUGGCUAACAAGAAAAGAACAGAGGCGGAUUUAAUGCGUAAAUGAUGCGUUGAAGCCAAGUGAAGGCCAAAUGAUGUAACAGCCCGCUGUGCAAACAAAAGUAUUGCAGUAAUUCAAAUAGAGAAAGGUUGGGGAGAAUUGAGUCAUUCCCCAGAGCAUGGCAGCAUCUGUAUACAUGUCAAGCUCAAAAGCAGAUCCGCUCUGAGUGGUCAGUCCCAUAUCGCUAAAAGUAGCAAUGUGGUUUCAGGCAAACAACAUCAUCCUUCUCAUUAAACAGAUAUUGUUACUUUAAAUUUUAUUGGGUUUGCAGUUUUGUUUAUAUUUACUAGGUACGUUUCUCCGAUGUAGAUGUACUGCUAAGUAAAAAAGAAAUUGUAGUAUGCUGCCUUUUGAUUAAAAAGGGGAGUAUAGGCCAGCCGUGGUGGCUCAUGCCUGUAAUCCCAGCACUUUGGGAGGCCAAGGUGGGCGGGAUCACGAGGUCAGGAGAUCAAGACCAUCCUGGCUAACACUGUGAAACCCUGUCUCUACUGAAAAUACAAAAAAUUAGCCUGGUGUGGUGGCACGCACCUGUAGUUCCGGCUACUUGGGAGGCUGAGGCAGGAGAAUUGCUUGAACCCGGGAGGUGGAGGUUGCAGUGAGCUGAGAUCUUGCCACUGCACUCCAGCCUGGGUGACACAGGGAGACUCUGUCUCAAAAAAAAAAAAAAAAAAAAAAAAAAAGAAUGAGCGAGUAUAGGCUGGGCGUGGUGGCUCAUGCCUGUAAUCCCAGAACUUUGGGAGGCUGAGGCGGGUGGAUGACCUGAGGUCAGGAGUUCGAGACCAGUCUGGCCAACAUGGUGAAACCCCGUCUCUACUAAAAAUACAAAAAUUAGCUGAGCUUGGUGGUGCACGCUUCUAAUCCCAGCUACUUAGGAGGCUGAGGCAGAAGGAUCGCUUGAACCUGGGAGAUGAAGGUUGCAGUGAGCCGAGAUCGUGCCACUGCACUCCAGCCCAGGUGACAGAGUAAGACUCUAU
rnacentral:lncRNA from 10 species